GUUCAGCUCAAGCAGAAAGCUAAUUCACUGUUCUCUGCCUCUUUGUUUCAUUCAAGCCCUCAAGGGAUGGUAUAAUGCCUACCCAAAUGGGUGAGAGCGUCUUUUUUACUCAGUCUACCAAUUCAGAUACAAGUCUCUUCUGUAAACACCUUCACAGACAUACCCAGAAAUAAUGUUUUACCAGAUAUUUGGGCAUCCUUUAGCCCAGUCAAACUGACACAUAAAAUUAACUGUCAUAGAAGGACUACCUCGUUAGCAACUAAGAACAAUGGGACUUAGAACAAAGACCUCAUCAGGUAUUAAAUUGGAAGAAGAUACAUUAAUGAAAAGAAAUGUUAUGGUACUGUUGAAGAUGGAGGCAGCAAGACCCUCCGAGGCUAUAGAAAAAAUAGCGUAAUAAACCCAGAAAGGCUCUUCAAGAUAUCUAUGUUAGUGUUCUACCUAACACAGCAAUAAUUUCUUUGCAAAGCCCCUGGCAGAUUAUUUAGUUUUGCUUGGAUCCUUAAGGUGAUGAAGUGUUCCCUUUUUAGCAAGGUAAAUGAAUCUGUUUUUGGACAGAUGUAACUCUUAGAAAUUUCUUCCUUGUACUGCUAAAGCAAGGUCUGUUUCCCUGUAGCUUCCAUAUGGUUUCCUUAAGUGAUAAACAGACUGACUGUAAUAUAUCUUUCCUAUGACAGCCCUCCAAAUAUCUGAAGUAUGUCCCUCCUGUUUUCUUUUUUUAAGUUAAGCAUCCCAGAUACUUCAAUUUAUAUCUCCUCACAAGAUUGCCAGACCUCUUAAUAUUUUGGCUGCCCAAUCAGAAUAAAGUUGUUGAACUCUAGUUUGCCAGUGUCAAUUUUAAAAAGUAAUGUCCAGAAGGAAUUUUGUAUUUUGCAUGUAGUCUGACUGGAACAGAUAAGAGACAGUGAAAUUAAUUUUGUUAGAUAUUUUACACUUGUUAAUUGGACUCUUGGCCUAAACUGAACUGUAAUGAAUGUACCUGUCUGGUAUUUAUCUAAAUUGCCAUCAAACCAGGUUUAGUCUAUUCUGUAGCUGAAAAAAUUAAUUUUAUUUGAUAAAUUUUACCUUGUUCGUUUUGAUCCAUUCAUUCAUUUAUUCAUUCAUUGUUUCAACAAAUACUUUUUGAGGUCAGCAUUGUGGCAGUCUUCGUUAUGCCCUGAGAUUACCAGAAAGUACAGGUUAUUCCAAUUAGUUGAACAACUUGAGAUCAUUUUAAAAUGUAAAUCUAAUAUUCAACAUUGUUAUUUUUACAUCACCUGUCAUCUAUAAAUUUCAUAAACAUGAUUGUAUCUUUAUUCAGUUAAUAACAAGAUUAAAAAAUCAAGGACAUAUUGUGAUAAGCUGGUGAUUUUGAAUCAUCAGGAUUCUAGAUUUAAAAGUUUUUGGAGACAGAACAUUUAACGGUGUGAUUUAUUUAUUUUAUAGAAGAGAGUUAAUAUAUAACUUAGAGUUUGAUUGUCUUAAAUACCGUAUUUCUCUUUUUGUCCCAGGGGAAGAUCACAGAAUGCUGCCUUGCUUGUGGAAUUAUAGAAUUCAAAUCUAUCAGUUUUAUAGGGAGUAAUUUUUCAAGACUUACUCUUAAGGAAUUCAUACUGAUUCCUAAUAAUCAUCAUUUUCUUAAUCUAAAUCCUACAAAGCCAUUCAUUUAAUCAUUUGUUUUAGAAUGUUUCCUGCUUUCCUGUAUGUUUCUUUUUCUUCUUACUUUAAAGCAAGGUUUAAACAUCCCUUUUGAUAUUUUUAGGUUUUGUCGGGGUGUAGGGAGCAAGGUUAUUCUCACUGUGACCUUUGCCCUGCAGCAGUAAAGCAAUAACUAGCAUCAUUUCUGCUUUGUAUUGUUUUAUCAUUUCUACAUCAUGUUUGUAGGCUGACGAAUGAAGUCAAAUGCUUAUAAAUGCUUUGUAAACUAUAAAAUUCUCCAUUUAUAUAUAUUUCUGCCCCACUUAUUUCUCAUUAAUGUUACUUGUGAUUAUAUUGUCAGAAUUCCUUAGAGCCACAUUUUUGUGAAUAUUGUGCUGCAAAUAUAUUUAUUUGUUUGUAAGCACUAAGUAUUCUUUUGUUCCCAAGAAAACAAAUUCUAUAUGAGUCUUUUCUGGUUCUGUUUUUCUUUUGUUUCAAUCUCUUCACAAUAUUGUAUUUAGAGCCAGAUUUAUCAGCCCCAGGCAUCUCUUGCUUUCCUGUGUCUACUUCUUCACAGUAUAACUCUCAGGCAAAAUGACAAAAAGGCAAAUUCACAAAGGAACCAGUGAGUGUUCUUGUCAGUGCUUGGGUUCCAUUCUCAAAUAAGCUGAAAGUUCUUCUAUUUCAUCAACAGAAUGUGAUUUAAAGGGAUAUAUUGCCAGCUUGUAUCACUGCUAAACAGUGGUGUGUCACUGUAGAGCAAAUAGUCACAAGAAUACAUUCUCAGGAAAUAUACAGUUAUAUCUAUGCUUUCUGCCAAGCAAGGAGAAACGCAGACUGGCUCAAAUCUCCAGAAACGACUUGCAUCCUUCUUUAUUUCUUACACCUUUUCUUUUCUUCAUCUCCUAUUUCUUCUUUCCCCAUGUCCUCCUCCUGCUUUCACAAUUUCCUUCUCCUCCUUAUUCUCCUUCUCUUUCACCUCCCCGUCUUCUUCCUUACGCGUUGAUUAUGCCAGUAAGAUGAUAUCUUGUAAAGAAAUGGAAUACUUUUAGCAGAUGCCACACUAUAGCCACAGUAGUGACAUCUGGAAUUUGUCAAAAGCCACAGUUGGCAUCCCUAAAAUUCACCUGCCUGGAUUCUGUUCUGAGAAGAUUGUGUCUGCAAGAAAGUCUGGCCAAGUUCCUAAAAGAGGCAAAAUCAAGGAUAGAUGGCAUCUAUCCUAGUUCACGUGAAGGUUAAAAGCGUCUUCAGGUACUUAGAUACAUAGAUAUACAGGCUCUGUUAUUACAAACUUUCAAGGCAAUUCUUAUGUUCUUAUGUAUUUAUUUGCUUUUUGAAUCACAAAAUUUAUGCUUAUAUUUUAAGCAGAUGGAGUUUGUUUAUGAAGAAGUGAUUAUUGCUGAUACUCAUUAUUACACAUCAGAGUAGUUAUAUUUCUAUGUAAUUUUUUGCAUGGAGUAGGCAUUUGUGGUCUUGCUCUACAUCUGUUUGAUCAUAGCAAUUCCAGUUGAUUUCACAGGGUCAGCAAAUACACAGCACAUAAGCUAACACUCUUCCUUCUUGUACCCACAGUAGACCACUAAUCAAUUAUGGCGUUUGUCUUGCUAAGCCAGGAAACAGCUUCAGAAUCCUUCUCAAACAAUGUUUCAGACAGCUGCUAUUAAUAUGUCAGAGUUGGCACUUGAUGAGAAAUACAGUUGCCAUUCCAGAUUAAGGCCAACACCCCCCACCGCCCCAAAAAACAGCCUCAUAAAAAGACCUCUGAGCAGUGGCAUCAGAAAUCUAAGGGUCACUGAUGGAGUAUGACAGGAAUCUAAGACAGAGAGAGAUCCUAAUUUCCCAGGAGCCAGUAAUGCAGAGUGGAUAAUUCUGGUUUGGACUUAAGGUAGAUGUAGGAUGGAAGUAAAAAAGAAAACAUACAUUGGGACUGGGUCCUUAGAUCUAUAAAUUGUUUAUUUGGGUAGCCAUUACUCAGAUUUCUCUCAUUCUAUAGAGUGGUUUUUUAGAGUUUCACAGUGGUACCUAAUUGUGACAAUACGGGUCUUUCCUAUGAUUAGUGACCCAAUAGAAUAGUGAAAAGGAAAGUAUUUGUUUUUGUACAACAUAGAGGCAUGAGUGCCUUCUUUUAACCCAUUGAUUCCCACACUUUGAUCUUGAGAAACUUACUGUCUUAAACCUUCUGAAGACCUCCCAAAGGGCUUUUGUUUAUAUGGCUAUAACUUUCAAGAUUUAUCAUAUUUAAAUUAAAAUGGAAAAAUGUUAAAAUAGUUAUUGAAAAUGAAAAUAGUAAAUGCCUGUUUACUUAAAUAAUAUUUAAUCUCACAGAUCCCCUGAAAGAUUUUGGAGAAUUUCCUGAUUGGCACUUUGAAAACUGCUGCUGUAACCAAUUCUGUGAUGACUGCUGACUUGAUGUAAGGUGAAUGCAGAAAGUCUCCUGCUAGGACUCUCCCUGGCAUUGCCUCAUUCACAAAAAAUUUCAGACACUAUAUAUAUCAAUUCAGAUAAUUCAUUCAGUUAAAUGUUUAUUAAAUAUAUUUUCAAAUUGUUUAUUGAUAUAUAAUUAUUCUAUCAAGGACACAUAUAAAAUAAUUAGGUAUAGAAAAAUAUAAGAAAGAAAAGGAAAUCAAGAUUAGGAAAAAAUAACAAUGCAGAUAUUCAGACCAUAUAGUACUAUAAAGUUGGCUCAUUAUUUUGCUAAUGUGUUUACUGAGCACCUGUUCUAGACAUAGGAAAUGCAUGGAUGACUACAAUUGCCCCAGUUGUUAUCUCAUUGAGGUUACAUUAUAUUGUACUUGUAAAAUAUGCACCCCCACUCAUGGCUUUAGGCAAUACAAAUGAACAAAAACAAAAACCAGCCAAACAAAUAUAUCAGUUAAAAGAUCAUUGACCAAAAUGUUAAAUGGAGUACUCUGAGGAAGCAAAGAGUUUUGGAGAUAUGCAAAAUAAUUUUCUUAUAGUACAUUUCCUAAUUGACUUUAUAAAGCUGUUUCUUAUAGUCUUCAUUAAUGAAAGUUAAAGAGGCAUGAGAACAAAGUGCUGCUGAGAAUAUUAUAUCAGUUAACUUUUGCGAAAACAAAAGUAUAAUCCAUUUGUUGCCAAUAUUAUCAGACUGUGAUUCUAAAGUGAAACUACCUUUCUUUUUUACGUCCAUGUUUUCAUAGUAUAAGCCCCUCCUGGUCCAUUAAAAAUGUAGUACUGCCAACCUAAAGUUAGUACCAGGGCUUCACCUUAUACCAAGAGAGCUGAGAAAUGUUGGGGAGCACAGAUCAUUUGAUGCAUAGUGAAUACCUGAUAUAGCUGGUAGUUUGAAGUAGUAGCUCCUUAGAUGAUUUUUUUUUCCAGAAGGGGUAAGAAUGUUAUGUGUUAUAGAUGGAAUUCUGUCCUUCCAAAUGUAUAUGCUGAAGUCCUAACUCCCUGUACCUUAAAAUGUGACUGUAUUUGUAGAUAGCGUUUUUAAACAGUAAGUAGGUUAAAAUGAGGUCAUUAGGGUACUCUAAUCCAAUAUGCCUGUUGUCCUUAUAAAAAGGUGUGCUUAAGACACAGACACCUACAGAAGGAAGACCAUGUGAAAAUACAGGGAGAAGAAAGCUAUCUGUAAGCCAAGAAGUGAGUAAGGCCUCAGAAGAAAGCAAAGCCUGCCAACACCUGGAUCUUGGAUUCUGGCCUCCAGAAUCAUAAGAAAAUACGUUUCUGUUGUUUAAGCUACUUGGUCUGUGGUACUUGGUUACAGUAGCCCUAGCAAACUCAUAUGAUUCUGUGAUGAGGGGAAAGAACUGUUGAAAGCAUUUAGUUAUAAAUAAUGAAUCAGGAAACAAAGGGCCAAUAAUGACAUAAUGAACUCCUUAAGGCCUAAACUAAACCUGUGUGCCAGAGGCUAAAUUCUGUGCAUGAUCAUUUCUGGAACAGAAAUGUUAGGUGAAUAAGUGCUGUACCAGCUGCUUUAUGGGUAGUCUCCUUGACUACUAGAAAUAGAAUAAAGAAAGCAAGGUGGAACAUCUGGCAACGUUAAGUGUCAAAAAUCCAUUUUCAAAGCCUUUUGUCAUGGGGGUUCAAGGGAGUAAAUAAAAGCGUUCUUCUAAGUCCUGGUAUGAUUCUAUAUGUUAAGCAGAAGUUGUGAUUUAUGAAGAAGAAGAAGACUUGAAUCGACUAGGUAAACUAAACAGAAUCUUGCUCACAGUCAGUGUUUAUUAGAAGUUUGUCUUAUCAGUUGUAAUUGGAGAGGGAAUUUUAAAAAAUUUUGCUUUUAAUCUUUACUCUGAACCAGGCCAUCUCUGUAAUUUAUAAUCUCAUCAUUUAGGGGGUAAGUGGUUACUGUAUUUUUGUUGUAUCUUCCUUGUGGGACACUUUUCAUCAUUUUUAUUAGCAUUUUAUGACUCCAUAGCAUGUAUUAAGUUAGUAUGAGAAAUUUACAUUAUACAUUAUUUUAGGGUCUACAAUAUGAGAUCCAAGGCAAUUUUGAGAAAAAGUAAAAGUAUUAAAAAUGAUCUGAAGUUUUUUGGUCACGUGAAAGUCAUAAGAGAUGCUUAGUGGAUAAGAGCAAAGGUGUAGACAGUCUAAUAUCUGUGGAUGUAGCCCUCAAGAAAUUUGCAGACUGUGUGACUUCUACAGUAUUGUGUAGAAUUUGGGGCUUUAGAGAUCAUGUAUUCAGCUCUUUCUCUUACAUAUGAGGAACUGGAGGAGCUCAGAAAAAGUCCAUUAUCUUGUCCAGCACCAUACUUUGGGUUAGUGAAACAGGAAGCGAGCCCACAUCUUCUGACCCCUAUUCAGAACAGAAGUCUUUAAGACUAUGUCAUAAUAUUAAUUUCAGAUCUCUCUAAAUUUCUCCAAUAGUCCACUGGAGGUCUGUCAUUUUAUAAUUAUCUAUAGCCUUGUUUUUCAAGAACAUUUGCAGGGUUACGGGUUCAAUUAAUUAACCCAUCAGUACACAAUAUUUGCAUGUGUUAUUUUGUCCUAAAGCAACCUCUUUAAAAUUUCCAGCUUACUUCUGGUUUCAGUGUUUUGGGAUUUAGUAAAUUAUUGUGCAAUAUAUUUAUACUCUUUAUAAGAUUGCUUCUCUUGGUUUCAAUGGGUUUAUCAGAAAAUGUUGCUAUAAUUGAUCUCUAAGGUCCAACCCUAGAAUUCUAUUAAUCUAUAUACAAUUUCUAUUUAUUCUGUGGUUAAACUCUCCCUGGUAUUAGUAUGUUAUUGUGUUUCUUUCAUUGGAGGAUAAAAGCUUUCUUUGUGUUUACUAAAAUAACUUUAGACAUGAAUGGCUAGAAAUAUUUUUGGCAAGCUUCUGCUUCAUCCCUGAGUUAAACUGGGGUUUAAGACUGACCAGGAGAGUAACACCAUUAUAGUCUUUUAGAAUGCCAAGAAGUCUGGAUUAAAAGUAAGUUCCCUGAGCUAACUGCUGUCUUUCGUGUUCCUUAGUGUAGGUCUCUCUUUCUGAUCUCCCCGUCCUUGGAUUCUCAAGUGCUAGAAAUGCAGAACCAUUGCUCAUUCUACCUUCUCCCACACCCAACCCCCCACUUGCCUGUACUUAUUGAACUGCCCUGGGGCAGGUAAGCUAUGGCCUCAUUCUCCAAAGUUCCUAGGGCCUUAAAGUCCUCUGUUGUCCAGAGCUCCUAGACAUGUCAUUUUAGUGGUACAGGUACCAGAUAGAUGCUCAAAGACUUCUUAGGUUGUGGUCUUGGGCCUGCACUGAUGGGCUAUGAACAUAAAUUAUAUCAACUGUAGGGCAUGGGGUGGGAGUCAGUGCUACAGGAACUAUGGGCCCUGGUUUUUCUAAUGUGUCAGUGUCAGUGUGAGGGUGACUAUACCGAUGAUGAGGGUGAAGAGAACCAAAUAGUAAACACUACUGGGGAAAACUUGAAAUCUGUGCUGAUGAAUAUAAAACAAGGAGAGGAAAAUCAAGGUUUAAUUUGGCUAUGCAAAAAAUACCAAUUACUUUUGUGACCUAAUUUUAAUUUAGAUUUAUUUAUUGAGCAGCAAAAUAAUAAUUGUGUAUAUAGCUAAAUAUGUCACAUACAUUCUAUUAUAAGUUUUAUUGAUUCCAUUAUUCAAUUUUACUCUUGUACACUCAUUCCCAUAGUUGUGCAAUGGGAUUGUUUCAGAUCUUAACAAAAAAUUAAAUUACAUCCUAAGUUAAUGGUGAGCUUAAAGGAUUUGUGUGAAUGUUAAUGAAUGCCCACCUAGGAACUGUCAGGUACAUACAGGCAGAUUUUGUGAAGCAUUUUGGAAUGGGGGACUUAAAUCAAACAUUAUUCUUUGAACAAUUUUUUUAUAAUACCAUUUCUUGUUUGUUCCUACAUGUUCAUUGAUAAAAUAAUGAAAAAAAAGAGUAGUUCUUUAUGCAUAAUUACAAGAUAGAAAGAUAAGCAACAGUACCAUUUUGGUGUAAAGUUUAUGAUUAUACACACACACACACAUUUUUUGGGGGAGCAAAAUUGCUCUCAACAUUCUACUUCUUUUGUUUUUACUUUAAAGUAUUAGCUUUCCUGGGUUAAUGACGGUAUUGCCAUAACUGACUUCAUUCACCCCCAGUUCUAUGAAUCCUUAUUUCAUUUUCACUUAUUUUUGUACACCAAUAUAAAAAUUAUUUUUAA
rnacentral:lncRNA from 1 species